rnacentral:rRNA from 1 species
GAUCAUUACCGACUUUUUGAACGGGUCGUAGCUGGUCUCCUUCCGUAGAGGAACGUGCGGAAGGAUCAUUACCGAGUGUAGGGUUUCUAGCGAGCCCAACCUCCCACCCGUGUUUACUGUAACCUUAGUUGGUUUGGGCGGGCCCGCCUUUAAGGCCGCCGGGGGGCAUCAGCCCCCGGGCCCGCGCCCGCCGGAGACACCACGAACUCUGUCUGAUCUAGUGAAGUCUGAGUUGAUUGUAUCGCAAUCAGUUAAAACUUUCAACAAUGGAUCUCUUGGUUCCGGCAUCGAUGAAGAACGCAGCGAAAUGCGAUAACUAGUGUGAAUUGCAGAAUUCCGUGAAUCAUCGAGUCUUUGAACGCACAUUGCGCCCCCUGGUAUUCCGGGGGGCAUGCCUGUCCGAGCGUCAUUGCUGCCCAUCAAGCACGGCUUGUGUGUUGGGUCGUCGUCCCCUCUUCGGGGGGGACGGGCCCCAAAGGCAGCGGCGGCACCGCGUCCGAUCCUCGAGCGUAUGGGGCUUUGUCACCCGCUCUGUAGGCCCGGCCGGCGCUUGCCGAACGCAAAACAACCAUUCUUUCCAGGUUGACCUCGAUAUGUUAGGGAUACCCGCUGAUCUUAAUCAUAU